rnacentral:rRNA from 1 species
GACGAACGCUGGCGGCGUGCUUAACACAUGCAAGUCGAACGGAAAGGCCCCUUUGGGGGUACUCGAGUGGCGAACGGGUGAGUAACACGUGAGUAACCUGCCCUUGACUUCGGGAUAACUUCAGGAAACUGGGGCUACUACCGGAUAGGAAUCCUUGCUGCAUGGUGGGGGUUGGAAAGCUUCUGCGGUUUUGGAUGGACUCGCGGCUUAUCAGCUUGUUGGUUGGGUAGUGGCUUACCAAGGCUUUGACGGGUAGCCGGCCUGAGAGGGCGACCGGCCACAUUGGGACUGAGAUACGGCCCAGACUCCUACGGGAGGCAGCAGGGGGGAAGAUUGCACAAGGGGCGGAAGCCUGAUGCAGCAACGCCGCGGGCGGGAUGACGGCCUUCGGGUUGUAAACCGCUUUCAGCAGGGGCGAAGCUUGUGGUGACGGUACCUGCAGAAGAAGCACCGGCUAACUACGUG